CCCUCGGAUUUGGAAGCUGGGAACGCAGUGGUUGCUUUCUAUUUUCUUCUCCAGAUCUGUAAUUCUCCAUUGGUUAUUGAAGAACAGUAUAAUUAACCGUCAGAGUUGAAGAAUUUUUGUUUCCCAGGAAACAUGGAUCCAGAUUCAGUGAAAUCCACUCUCCAAAAUCUAGCCUUUGGAAAUGUAAUGGCCGCCGCGGCUCGCAAUUACCAGAAGGAAUUGCUUGCCAAUGAAAAGGCACCGGCCACGAGCUCUGUCAACCAAGAAGUCGACCUUGACGAGUUGAUGGAUGAUCCUGAGCUUGAAAAAUUGCAUGCGGAUCGGAUUGCUGCUCUAAAGAAAGAAGCUGAGAAGAGAGAAGCUUUAAAGAGGAAAGGGCAUGGAGAAUACAGGGAGAUAACUGAAGGGGAUUUUUUAGGUGAAGUUACUGGGACUGAGAAAGCCAUCUGCCACUUCUAUCACCAGGAGUUCUAUAGAUGCAAGAUAAUGGAUAAGCAUUUGAAGACCCUUGCUUCAAAGCAUGUUGAUACCAAGUUCAUCAAGCUGGAUGCAGAGAAUGCGCCCUUCUUCAUCACCAAGUUAGGAGUCAAAACUUUGCCUUGUGUCAUAAUCUUCAGAAAAGGAGUUGCUGUGGAUAGGUUGGUUGGAUUUCAAGAUAUGGGAGGAAAAGAUGAUUUCAGCACAAGGGCACUCGAGGUUGUACUAAUCAAGAAAGGUAUAAUUAGUGAGAAGAAAGAUGAGGAUGAUGAAGAUGAUGGAUAUCAUGAAGGUAGUCGCAGGACAGUGAGAUCCUCUGUGAAUCUUGAUGAUUCUGAUUCAGACUGAAAAAAGAACAGAAAAAAAGAAGAAAACGAUACCUGAGUUUUCAAAUGCUUUCUGGUUGCAUGCUUGUAUACUUCUUGUCACAUCUAAUGCAUGUUACCUUCUGAGUGGAUUUUUUUGUUUGUUUCUUUUUUAGGAACAAAAUUGCAUUGGAAAUAUAUUCUUCCAGUCCUUCAUAUUGACUAGAAAGUACUUUCUGGUUUUACUUUA